rnacentral:rRNA from 1 species
AACAGGAUUAGAUACCCUGGUAGUCCACGCCGUAAACGAUGUCGAUUUGGAGGUUGUGCCCUUGAGGCGUGGCUUCCGGAGCUAACGCGUUAAAUCGACCGCCUGGGGAGUACGGCCGCAAGGUUAAAACUCAAAUGAAUUGACGGGGGCCCGCACAAGCGGUGGAGCAUGUGGUUUAAUUCGAUGCAACGCGAAGAACCUUACCUGGUCUUGACAUCCACAGAACUUAGCAGAGAUGCUUUGGUGCCUUCGGGAACUGUGAGACAGGUGCUGCAUGGCUGUCGUCAGCUCGUGUUGUGAAAUGUUGGGUUAAGUCCCGCAACGAGCGCAACCCUUAUCCUUUGUUGCCAGCGGUCGCGGCGAACUCAAAGGAGACUGCCAGUGAUAAACUGGAGGAAGGUGGGGAUGACGUCAAGUCAUCAUGCCCUUACGACCAGGGCUACACACGUGCUACAAUGGCAUAUACAAAGAGAAGCGACCUCGCGAGAGCAAGCGGACCUCAUAAAGUAUGUCGUAGUCCGGAUUGGAGUCUGCAACUCGACUCC